rnacentral:lncRNA from 1 species
AUUCACCCACAUGGUCCUUCGAGGUGCCGCCGCCGCCGCCCGACCUGCGCCUUCGCGCCACUUCGCGCCCUCGGGCGAGGCCGAGGGGGUGGGGACGACUACCGCAGCGCCGCCGGGGCUCGCGCUCCUCCGCGAAGCUCUCCUCGCGGGGCGGGCCGGCCGGCCGCACCCCCGGCCUGGGGCCUCCGGUCGUAGUAAAGCGCAGGCGGGCGGGGAGGCGGGAGCAGGAGCCCGCGGCCGGCCAGCCGAAGAUGGUGGCGGCUACUCCUCCUGUCAUACACGUGGACCUAACUGCACCAGUAGCUUUUCUGAGAAUACUUGCUGAAAAGGAAGUUUUCUGGAAUGGUAUUUGCUAAGUGGAAGCCAGAAGAGGAGGAAAAUGUUUUGCCACGUGGAUGUGAAGAUUUCCUCUAAAAGGUACACAUGGACUAAAUUGCCUUUAAAUGUUCCAAAAUUAGUUCUCAUUUAUUUGCAGUCUCAUUUUGUUUUGUUUUUUUUCUCUAUGUGUCAAUCCAUUUGGGAGAGGCCAGCCAUUGGAAGAGCCACCACUUCCAGUGCUAGUUGGAUGGUUGGUUAUGAUUGCCUUCUGUAAAGAAUUCUUAAGGCAUAAAUACGUGUCUAAAUGGACCUCAUAUCUUUGAGAUAAUUAAACUAAUUUUUUCUUCCCCAUUAGGGAUUAUGCUGAAUUUGUAUGGUUUAUAGUUGUUAGAGUUUGAGGUGUUAAUUCUAAUUAUCUAUUUCAAAUUUAGCAGGAAAAAAGAGAACAUCACCUUGUAAAACUGAAGAUUGUGACCAGUCAGAAUAAUG